rnacentral:rRNA from 1 species
GACGAACGCUGGCGGCGUGCUUAACACAUGCAAGUCGAACGGAAAGGCCCUUCUUUUGUGGGGUGCUCGAGUGGCGAACGGGUGAGUAACACGUGAGUAACCUGCCCUUGACUUUGGGAUAACUUCAGGAAACUGGGGCUAAUACCGGAUAGGAGCUCCUGCUGCAUGGUGUGGUUUGGAAAGUUUCGGCGGUUGGGGAUGGACUCGCGGCUUAUCAGCUUGUUGGUGGGGUAGUGGCUUACCAAGGCUUUGACGGGUAGCCGGCCUGAGAGGGUGACCGGCCACAUUGGGACUGAGAUACGGCCCAGACUCCUACGGGAGGCAGCAGUGGGGAAUAUUGCACAAUGGGCGGAAGCCUGAUGCAGCAACGCCGCGUGCGGGAUGACGGCCUUCGGGUCGUAAACCGCUUUCGACUGUGACGAAGCGUGAGUGACGGUAAUGGGUAAAGAAGCACCGGCUAACUACGUG